GUGCUUGCUUCAGCAACACAUAUACUAAAAUUGGAACAAUACAGAGAAGAUUAGCAUGGCCUAUGUGCAAAGAUGACAUGCAAAUUCAUGAGGCGUUCCAUAUUUUU
rnacentral:snRNA from 1 species